GCCCUGGGUCUCAGUUGGCACUUCUGGAAUUGAAGAAGUCAGGCUCAGGUGUCAAAGGCAUCUCCAGCUGGUGGUGCUGUUUGAAAUGAGAAGAAACUUGAAGAGGUGAUCCUGGAGUCAGCAGGGUUGUGGCCUUUGAGGAUAGACUUAUUCCUCAACCCCUUCCUUCGCACUGCGUCCAUUCUGUCUUAAACUGAAUGAAGAUUUGCCUACAUGUCCUA